UUAUGAAUAAGGAUCGGCUAACUCCGUGCCAGCAGCCGCGGUAAUACGGAGGAUCCGAGCGUUAUCCGGAUUUAUUGGGUUUAAAGGGAGCGUAGGCGGGUUGUUAAGUCAGUUGUGAAAGUUUGCGGCUCAACCGUAAAAUUGCAGUUGAUACUGGCGACCUUGAGUGCAACAGAGGUAGGCGGAAUUCGUGGUGUAGCGGUGAAAUGCUUAGAUAUCACGAAGAACUCCGAUUGCGAAGGCAGCUUACUGGAUUGUAACUGACGCUGAUGCUCGAAAGUGUGGGUAUCAAACAGGAUUAGAUACCCUGGUAGUCCACACAGUAAACGAUGAAUACUCGCUGUUUGCGAUAUACAGUAAGCGGCCAAGCGAAAGCGUUAAGUAUUCCACCUGGGGAGUACGCCGGCAACGGUGAAACUCAAAGGAAUUGACGGGGGCCCGCACAAGCGGAGGAACAUGUGGUUUAAUUCGAUGAUACGCGAGGAACCUUACCCGGGCUUAAAUUGCAACUGACGGAAUCGGAAACGGUUCUUUCUUCGGACAGUUGUGAAGGUGCUGCAUGGUUGUCGUCAGCUCGUGCCGUGAGGUGUCGGCUUAAGUGCCAUAACGAGCGCAACCCUUGUUGUCAGUUACUAACAGGUUCUGCUGAGGACUCUGACAAGACUGCCAUCGUAAGAUGUGAGGAAGGUGGGGAUGACGUCAAAUCAGCACGGCCCUUACGUCCGGGGCUACACACGUGUUACAAUGGGGGGUACAGAAGGCAGCUACCUGGUGACAGGAUGCUAAUCCCAAAAACCUCUCUCAGUUCGGAUCGAAGUCUGCAACCCGACUUCGUGAAGCUGGAUUCGCUAGUAAUCGCGCAUCAGCCAUGGCGCGGUGAAUACGUUCCCGGGCCUUGUACACACCGCCCGUCAAGCCAUGAAAGCCGGGGGUACCUGAAGUACGUAACCGCGAGGAGCGUCCUAGGGUAAAACUGGUGAUUGGGGCUAAGUCGUAACAAGGUAGCCGUACCGGAAGGUGCGGCUG
rnacentral:rRNA from 1 species